UCUCCGAACAAAAUUUUUACGAUCAUUAUUUUCAUUCAGGCUUUGAUGCUGAGAGCAUUUAAUACCUGUGUUAGAGAUUUGAAGUUAUCCAUGAUACUGUAUAACAGGUCAAAGGUCAUUCAAUAGGAAAUCACCAUCUAUAUCUUGCUAAAUAUUUCAUUAUAAAGCAGGUAAGUAGAAUUAGCAAAGUUUAAAUAACAGUUUUGGGGGGUUUUUUUGUAAAUAUGAUGAAUUUUGGGACUGAUUAUGAAACAAAUGAUUUCAGACUUCAUGCAAUAACAAGGAUUUCUUAUUAAAGAUUAACUUUUUGUGCUGCUUUUUAUAAUAAUCCAUUGUUGAGUCAGAUGUGUGUGUGUGUUGUUCUCUCUUUCUCUGCUGGAGUUUGUGUUUAUUUGAGUGUGACGGAGGUUUUUGUACGACGCUUUCACUAGAAUGAAGCACUGUGGUACACUUUUGGUGGAGGAACUGAACUGACGAUCAGAACUGGUCCCACAGUGAAGCCCUCCGUGUCUCUGCUGCCUCCCUCUUCUCUGCAGAUCUCUGGAGACUCAGCCGCACUGCUCUGCCUGCUCAGCUCUUACUCUCCACAGGGGGCGCAGGUGAGCUGGACGCUGUACGGGUCAGAGGUCACCGAGGGGGUUCAGACCAGCGCAGAGAGCGAGCGGGACGGACGCUACAGCCGCAGCAGCGUCCUGAGCCUCAGCAAAGCACGCUGGGAAGCCGGCGAGCGCUUCGUCUGCAGAGUAACACAUGACGGAGCUGAUCACGAGACCUCGUUCCUCAAGAGCUCCGAGUGCUGAUGUUUCUCCAGUGAAGAGCAGCAGGAUUCACAGCAGUCUCCUGAUUUACAGCUCAAUACUCAAGCAGUCUUUCAAUGUGCUGCCAUUGCUGUUCAUUCAAUAAAGCUUCUGAACGCCUUA